rnacentral:lncRNA from 1 species
CAUGAUUCCUAAUUUAUUGCUCACAGGAUAUGUGUAUGUAUUUGUUUUAUUCUCCAUUCACAGAACGUAUGAGGCAGACUCCUAUUAUCCUGCUUUGCUAUUGGUUGUAAAUUGAUGUUGGGUUGAUACACCUGAAAUGACUGCAUUUUAGUACCUUCUCUCUAUUUUGGCCGGUCUUCCUUCCCCUCCUGAUCCAAACUGACCUGCUGUGUUUAAGCAGCUGCUCUGGGAGGAAUGAAACUUCUCUGUGUCAGUUUUGCACAGCAAAACUCCUGUUGACUUCAGUAGAAGAAAGAUCAAUCUGCAGCCUUUCUCUCUUGUUUUGUUGUUUUCUCUCUUUUUUUUUUUUUUUUUUUUUUUUUUUUGCCAAAGUGCAACAACAUUUUAUGUACAUGAAUCUAUUGCAUUCAGUAAUACAAACAGAGAACAUUAUAAAGUUCCCAUGGCCUUUUUAAUAUUCAGGAGGUGUCUGUGUUUGAUGUGGUGGACACAUUGUACGUGAUUUGUUACACCUGUUUGUUUCUCAGGUGAAACCCACUGGUGCAAAACUGCAGCCCAUUGUAUUAAGCAGACUGGUCUCUUGGCAGGUUCAUUGUGAGUAAAUGAUAUGCCUCUCGCUGAGUAAGACCUUGAUGAACUUGUGUCAAAGUACUUUCAGAAUUCGUUUUAGGAGCAUGAUGUGAAUUAUAUGGUGCAGGUGUGUGUGCCAGAGGAAGGCGGAGGUUGGUGUCACACUUCACAGUUGAAAGCCACCCACCAUCACGGUUGCUUUUCAUGUGCUUGGCCAGUAUGAACUCUGCUGGAAACAGAAGGCCCUCUGAGGCUAUGGUAAGCCUGAAGGGACAGUGUAGGCUUUUGAGGGAGGAAAUCAAAAAACAUUGGAAAAAUUCCUGCUUUAAAUCAAGAGCUUAUGAUAACCCCUACGGCAGCACAGGAAACCAAUACUCUCAAGUCCUCCUUGGCAAUGUCUCCCAGGUGAAGGUGCCUUAUGAGGACAAAAUGCUGGCCACAAGUCCCUGCCUGUGUAAAGUUACGGCUCCUACCGAGGGAAUUUUGAUGGUUUCUGCUGCUGCAUUCAAGGCAUUUCAUUCCUCCUGCACGGUCCUCCCCAUGUUGUGCUAACAUUAAAUGUCAUGUUCCACCCUCCUUUUACUUCUGUCGGUAGUUCUGACGGUCUUUUCCUCAAUGAUCCAGUCAGUCCAAUUUUCAGAUGACAAAAAGUGCAUUACAAAUUUGUAUCCAGAUCACCUGCUCAGUGGGUAACGGAAGACAAAGAGCAGGACAGAACAGAGAGAAUCCAGGGAGAACAUUUUGGAAGCUGAACAGAGGUAACAUAAACAAAAUAACUGAGAGAGGGAUUUGCUGAGUUACCUGGGGAAGCACUGGAGAAAGACCUAUGGAAAGCAAGCACAGGACAAAGGGUGCUACAUGAGUUGAAAAGCAGCACCUGGCACUACCAUUAAGCCCAAGAGGUUUCCACUGUUCGUGUCUCCAGAAAAGAAUGAUCUGUGCAACCUCUCUCUGUACCUCCAUCAUGAAGUGGAGCACACUUGGUGUUGAGACAGUGGUCUAAAAUACAAACAGAUUUAGGGUUGGGUUUUCUUAAGUGUGUUGAGAAGUCUUUGCUUUCUCAAAGUUGAGCAUGCAGAAGUUAAAAAGAAUAAACCAGCAUAAGUUUUUUUCUGGACGCUCCUUUGUAUGUUUUACCUUUAAGCAUAGAAGAUACACUAUUUUCCCACUGUGCCCAUGUGUGCAGUGAAGUAGGCUGGUAUCUGUGGGUACCCUGCCUGAAUCACACAGGGGUAGGUUGCUGCUGGUGAGAUUGCAGGGAGAGGGAGGGAGGACAUUCCUUCCAUCCUGGAAUGGAUCUGUCCUGGCAGUUGGGUUCUUUCUCUGCUGCAGUUAUGCUGUGCUCAAUCAGCCAAACCCGGAGCCCUCUAAGGAGUCUCAUUGUGUGUUUUCAUUGCCUGGCUUGAUACCUAUUUGCAGAAAUGCCAAGCACUGUUGGCUGCAAACAAAAAUCCUCUGAACUAAACACCACACAAUAGCAUAUCUGAAAAAUCAGGUAAUUGGCAUCAAGCAGGAUAUUAACUGAUUUAUCUGUCAUGGCUUUAUCUAUAAACUGCAAAUUACUUUACCGCCCCAACCCCAUACAUCAAAGAGUGCUAACAGAAAAUGAUGUUUAUGAAGUAUUGUAGCAAGCACUAUUUAUUAAAGAUAGGAAAUACACAGUAAAUGUAGCUUAAGACAUCGUAUUUAAGAGUGGGAAAAAAUUGCUAUUAAAUCAGUAAUCACCACACAUCCUGCACUUCCAAAGAGGCAGCAUUCAACUUAAUGGUUGUAUUUCUUUUAUUAUGUAAGGAAAGGAACUAGGGGCUUAAGCGUAGUUACAGGAUUAGGACUGACUCAAGGUUUGUCAUCUUUUUUAACUUUUGAGGGUUUGCCCUGCCCCGUGCCCGGGCGACAUCUCCGCACGCCGCCGCCGAGCACCCCCACGGCACGCUGUGGGGAGCCAGCGCCCCAGCGGCGCCGGGACAACGGCCCCAACCGCUGCAACGGCCACUGCCGCACGCCCGCCCCUCGCGGCGACGACCAAUCAGGCGGCGCGCGGCCCGACGGUCACGGCCGAGCGGGCGGGGCCGUGCGUGGGCGGGGCCUCGUCGCCUCGCCCCGCCCCCCGCAGGUGAUGGCGGUAGCCGGGGCGGCGGCUGUUGGCGCCGGGGAGGUGAGAGGGACACUGCCCUGCGGGGGAGGGGCUCGGGGGACACGCGGACACGCACGGCCGUUGGGC